CUGUUAGCCAGUUUACCUUGUCAUACAUGGAGCAAUUUAAAAUGCUCCUUACCGUAGCACCAACGAGCUGUGUGGUUUUCACAGUAGGUUUUGGUCUGCCCUCUGCUUUCACUCGUAGUCAGUUCACGAUAGCUGUCCAAUGAAGGCGGUGACUGGCCAGAGUGUUGUGUCAAGUGACUGAAGUGCAAAAUUCUACCCUAUCGGUCACUGGUUCACGGGUGGGACUUAUCUGCCAUAAGGAUCAAUUGAAACGGAAAAUAAACACGAGCCGCCUGGGGUUCACUCGAUUUACAUUGAAGUCAAUGGGAAUAGUGGCGCUGUUGUGACUCACAUAAUUGAUUUCAGGAAAACAGCUCGUCUUCGUGAGUAUUUCUGUUUCAAAGCACUGAAAAUGGGAUUGUUGUAAGAUUUUUGGUUUAUUUAUUUUUUAACAUUUUUUUGGUGAAGCACUGCUUCACCUGUAGUCUUAUAGAAGCCUCCACUGCUCCACACUCUAUUUGUGAAACAUGCAGACGGCCUAGUGAGACUGCCAGCAGGCAGCAGCAAAGAGAUGUAGCGACCUCGGUUUAUUUCUUCAGCUUUCACAUACACACAAACACGCACACAGGGUGCUUGGUCUUUUUUUUGUUUUGUCGUUGUCUGUUAAACCGCCAAGUGGAGCGACGUGUCUGGGAAGCUGGCCUCUUGGUCUGAGCCUGUGGAGGCAUCGCUUCUCGGCCUUUUGGCUAAGAUCAAGUGUAGUAUCUGUUCUUAUCAGUUUAAUAUCUGAUACGUCCCCUACCCGGGGACCAUAUAUUAAAUUGAUUUUUGGAACUGGGAGAUGGAAAAGGGGCUUGCUCCGUCCACUCCACGCAUCGACCUGGUAUUGCAGUACCUCCAGGACCGGUGCACCCCUCUCUCACUGUGAAAAACAAAACUAAACUCCUCCUGAGUCCAGAGAGUAGUGGUGCCGAGAUGAUGCCUCAUGAAACGUCAAAGCCUCGCAGCCAGAUGAACCAUCAAAGUGGUUCGACCUCGAAGCUUCAAAUUAGUACGCUAGGGACACCUAGUGGUGAAUUAAAUUAUGAUGAAAGAAAGAGUUUCCUGUGAUGAUGUGAUGUUUGCUUCGUAGCCUACAACAUCACAACGUUUAAGAAUUAAAGUCAUUUCAGUGAUACGUGUGAGUUUGCCGUUCAUAAAUAUCUCCCGAGCUCAUGGUAGAGAACAAAUCAUUUGACCUAGAUUUUAAGUCAUCCCGGGCAAAAUAGAUUGUCUCAGUAGCCUACUAAUAAUUGUAAUAAUAGAACUGCAUGAUGACUGAGAAUGAGUGUGAUUAAUUACAUAGCCAUAAAAGUGAUCUUGGAACUGGGUAGGGUCUUCUUUUUGUAAAAAUGUGCCAAUUGUGAACCCAUAUCGCGCAACAGCCCGAGAUGAAGCCUCGAACGUCACGCGCCACGUCAUUUCGCCUAUGUGAUACGGAGCUUCGCUGGGGGAGGAGCCGAGGUACUCGACACACGCCCCGAUGCCUCGACGCAAACCAUAACAUCACUACCUGAGAGUACACCCGUCCGCCUGUAGACAAUAAAGUGUCAUUUACAAUUCAUAAACGCACUGUUUACAAUUAUUCCAACGAUAUUCUGUUGUUUAAGAAAGAAAAAAGGAUUCUUUCUGUGGCGGGUCGAUAACUCGGAUCUCCAGGUUUCCUUUCGUUAUGCUUCCAUCACGCUGAUUUCAGAUUCGCCUGUCAUCGUGUGACCGGUGGUCUACAGUGUUUAUUAAAGUCUAGACAUCUCCGAAUGCUUUGCAACCGUUCUCCACGGGAACAAGCGUGGGCAUCGUUCAGCCCACCUGAACGUGUACAACUCAUACUUACCUGGCAAGGGAGAUACCACGAUCAAGAAGGUGGUUCACCCAUAGCGAGGCUCAGCCAUUGCACUGAGGCUGUUGCUGACCCGUGCGAAUUCCCCAAAUGUGGGAAUCUCGAUUGCAUAAUUUCUGGUAGUGGGGGACUGCGUUCGCGCUCUCCCCUGAUCAUGUUGUUCUAAAGAAAUAAUAGCUAUGAAUGGCUUCAUCGCGCUGACUAAUGCCGUCCAUCCCACGUUUUGCAACGCUACGUUUAUUCAAAAGAUCACGCAAACGAUCACGCCCAAGCAGUGUAAUGCAUUACAUUCAGAUGUGGAACUCUGAGUCUGGAAUAACGUAGUCAUUCAUUCAUUCAUUCAUUUCUUUCAUUCAUUAUGGAUCAAAUUAUUGUUUCUGUACAAGUCCCGUCUCUGGCCACAGCAGCGCUCCCACUCAUUAUGGGUUCCUCCUGUAUAAAAGUUAGUAUGGACAAGACAAUAAUUGCUUACGGCCAUACCACCCUGAGCACGCGCGAUCUCGUCUGAUCUCGGAGGCUAAGCAGGGUCAACUCGAGCUCAUUGGCUGCAAUAGAGUUCCGGGUGUUGACGUUGUUGGGGCGGGGAAAACGUGGGCACCACCAUUUUGGCAGUAUUCGGCAGACUGGCGCUCUUGUGGUGGAGCAGACAUGGUCGAUAACUGUUGUGCACCAGGUUGCACAAAUAAACGAGGCAAAAAUAAAUGUACGUCGUUCUACCGCAUUCCUAAAGAUGCGGAGAGGCGAGCUAAGUGGAUCAGCGCCAUUAAAAGAGCCAGGAGCAAGCAAAAAAAGACUGAAAAAUGGGACCCCCCGGCUGUUGGAUUCCGCUUGUGCAGCGAUCACUUCAUAUCAGGGCCCGAAAGGACCAAGAGGUGAAAGGGGACCCCAGGGCCCUGACGGGAGGGACGGCAGACCUGGCAACCCCGGCCCUGCUGGGCCCCCAGGACCCCCUGGCCUCGGCAGAAACUUUGCUGCUCAGUAUGAUCACAACAAAGGCGCUGAUAUUGGUCCCGGCCCCAUGGGCCCGAAAGGACCAAGAGGUGAAAGGGGACCCCAGGGCCCUGACGGGAGGGACGGCAGACCUGGCAACCCCGGCCCUGCUGGGCCCCCAGGACCCCCUGGCCUCGGCAGAAACUUUGCUGCUCAGUAUGAUCACAACAAAGGCGCUGAUAUUGGUCCCGGCCCCAUGGGAAUGAUGGGAAUGAAAGGCCAACCUGGACUUCCCGGCCCCCCUGGAGAAGGAGUGAUAAUCCCUUGAGUCCGGACUUUGUUCCAUCUCUUUUCAACUACGUUCCAUCUCCAGAGAAGAGGAAAAGAAAAAUGAGACUGGAGGUUUUCAACAGACGACAGGGAGCAAAGCUACAGAAGAUGGAGCAGACAAAGCUAUCUGCGAAAGCCAUCCCUCCCAGAGCAUCAACAGAUUGUCCCCAAGACUGCAACAAGGAUCCUACUGCAGAGCAAAGUCCCACCACAGAGCCUUUGAAGGAAUCUACCCAUGAAGAACCUGGAAACGAUGUCCAGCCUGUUCUCCAUGAGGAGGAUCCAGCAACCCCACCAUGCACCACUGAAACCUGUGGUAAACGCGUCCAAUCUCUUGAGCAAGAAUGCCAAGCUCUGAGGACUGAAAAUAUGUUGUUGAAGGAAAAAAUGAAUAGGACUACACUGAAUGAGAUGAGCUUGCAUAACGAUGAUAAAAGGGUUCAUACUCUCACUGGUUUAUCAGCAUUCUCCAUUCUCAUGACAAUUUUUCAUAUUGUGGCUCCUUUUCUCCAACUUAAAUCUAGUUUAACAUGUUUUCAGCAGUACAUGUUAACUUUAAUUAAGCUUAGAAUGAACUUGUCCUUUGAGUUUUUGGCUUUUUAUUUUGACAUUGACUCAACCACUGUUUCAAAGCUCUUCAAACACUGCAUUAGUGUGAUGCAUUGUAGACUGGUGCCAAGUCUGGUGUUGUGGCCUGACAGAGAAUACUUAAGAAAAUCUCUUCCAUAUGCAUUUCGAAACCGUAGCUUUGAAAAGACAGUUUGCAUUAUAGAUUGUUUUGAAAUAUUUCUAGAGAAACCCAGUAGAUUGCUAGCCAGUGCUCAGUGUUACUCAUCAUACAAAUCACACCACACAAUGAAAUAUUUAAUUGCAAUUUGCCCUCGAGGUUCCAUUUGUUUCAUUUCCGCUGGAUGGGGAGGUCGCACAAGUGAUACGUUUAUCACAGAACAAAGUCACUUUUUAUCUCAUUUGCUCCCAGGGGACGUAGUUUUAGCGGACAGAGGUUGUCUGGUUAAAGAGUCCAUUGAGAGAUGCCAAGCUGAAUUAAAAAUUCCAGCAUUUACUCGUGGAUAGAAGCAGUUAGAUCCUGCUGACUUGGAGAACACCAGACGUCUAGCCUCUCUUAGGAUACAUAUUGAAAGAGUGAUAGGAGUUCUCCGUCAAAAGUACACAGUCUUGCAAAGCACUGUCCCCAUAUGUUUCACGGACAUAGACAGGGAAAAUGAUGUGGCCUACCUUGACAAGAUGGUGAGCGUGUGUUGUGCACUUACAAAUGUGUCUGAAUCUGUGGUGUCCUUCCAGUGAUGGGGAUUUACAGUAAAUUGAACUGAUGUGACUGGCUACAGAUGUGCUCAACCAGCAAAUAAACCUUUGUGACUCACACUUCUUGCUUGCUUGUCGUGACAUUAUUUUUAAUCACUCGCUAUUCUGAUGCGAUCACAUCGUUUCUCUUUGCAGAUCAAGCUGCACAUCCACCCAUUCUAACUUGAGUUCCACCCAAACAGAUAUUUGUUCUGGUGUGUUUUAUAUGAAUGACCCACCCAUGUUUCAUAUCCCUGAUUGCUACAGAUAUCUAAUACAAAUUAUGGGGAAGAGAACAAUAUUGGUUUAACAACUGUUUAUUCAUAAAUAACAGUACAGUAUCAGCUACUACAAACAACUCAUUUCACAGUCUCCUCACUAAGGUUUUCUUCUUUGGGCAUUGAUCACUUUUCGGCAGAUGGGACAUACCCACUGUUUUGGGACCCUUUUCAUGCGAAGGCAGGUCUGGUGAAACUUUUUAACUGAACAAAAACCUGACGCACAGACCACCAUGUUCCCUGCUUCUGGCUCAGGGCAGUAGCACCACUGUUGUUGACUAUGAUCAGCAAAUGCUGCUGCUGCUGGUGCUGGUUUCUGUGCAGAAAAACACUUUACUGCCUAAUUAACAGAAAGGUCCUUUGCAGAAAAUGGGCACUUAAUUUCUAUGACACCUGAACCACAGCAGCUACAGGAAACGUAUCCAUCAGGUGAGGCCCCAAUGCAGGGGUGAAAUCCUGAAUCCAGCUGUUCCUACCAUGACAUUCGUGUGUGAGAGGCGAUGACGCAUUUCAUAGUAUUUCCUUGCCAAGUCCUCGUGUUGACAUCCCCAACUGAAGAAAACAACAAUAACAUUAGUUUUGGACAAUAGUAAUGCCACCCCACAUUGGUACCGCCCUGCUCUUUCAAAAGGAUACUACCUACUUGGUUUAACACUCCUGCUUUUUAAGAAUAGUACUUCCUGGAUUUACCCUCCCUGUUAUUGUACCUACUUCACAUUCAUUUGAUUGUACACCAUCUGGAAAUGACCAUUUUACACACAGGAGCAGUUACACACUGCAUGCCCUGUUUUACCCUAAUCCUUCUAUGCUCAUGAAUACCUGGUAGCCUCACUGGUGAAACUAUGGGACUUUUGGGUAGCAUAUUUGUCUUAUUAGAGACACUGCAGGCUUUCUGACGUCUGUCUUUGUGGCUGCUCUGAAGGUAGUUAUAUCUAUCCGGAUACUGCAGAUCUGGGACGUCUUCUUCAGCGGAGAUGCUUUUGAAAAGCACCCCGGGGCCAUUGUAUGGGUCGGUAAUAUUUAACCUAUUUAAUUUUUGCCUAUAGAGCUCGAUGUCAUGCGAAUUAAAGUGAGAUGAGUACUCCGAUGGCUUGAAAGCUUCGGCGCCGGGUCAUUUUAAGGAAGCUCUUUAAGGGCGGCGCUUGAUUUUACUGACAAAAUGGCGUUCCGAACACCGGUGGUCACGUGGGUUCAGGAACUCGAUAUCAUGCAAGCACUUUGUUUUCUUUUUAUUUUGUUCUACACCACAAUUGCAUGCUUUAAACAUGACACGGGGCCAACAGUAAAGGCGUUUUUUCAGCCAACUCCCUGUUAGCCAGUUUACCUUGUCAUACAUGGAGCAAUUUAAAAUGCUCCUUACCGUAGCACCAACGAGCUGUGUGGUUUUCACAGUAGGUUUUGGUCUGCCCUCUGCUUUCACUCGUAGUCAGUUCACGAUAGCUGUCCAAUGAAGGCGGUGACUGGCCAGAGUGUUGUGUCAAGUGACUGAAGUGCAAAAUUCUACCCUAUCGGUCACUGGUUCACGGGUGGGACUUAUCUGCCAUAAGGAUCAAUUGAAACGGAAAAUAAACACGAGCCGCCUGGGGUUCACUCGAUUUACAUUGAAGUCAAUGGGAAUAGUGGCGCUGUUGUGACUCACAUAAUUGAUUUCAGGAAAACAGCUCGUCUUCGUGAGUAUUUCUGUUUCAAAGCACUGAAAAUGGGAUUGUUGUAAGAUUUUUGGUUUAUUUAUUUUUUAACAUUUUUUUGGUGAAGCACUGCUUCACCUGUAGUCUUAUAGAAGCCUCCACUGCUCCACACUCUAUUUGUGAAACAUGCAGACGGCCUAGUGAGACUGCCAGCAGGCAGCAGCAAAGAGAUGUAGCGACCUCGGUUUAUUUCUUCAGCUUUCACAUACACACAAACACGCACACAGGGUGCUUGGUCUUUUUUUUGUUUUGUCGUUGUCUGUUAAACCGCCAAGUGGAGCGACGUGUCUGGGAAGCUGGCCUCUUGGUCUGAGCCUGUGGAGGCAUCGCUUCUCGGCCUUUUGGCUAAGAUCAAGUGUAGUAUCUGUUCUUAUCAGUUUAAUAUCUGAUACGUCCCCUACCCGGGGACCAUAUAUUAAAUUGAUUUUUGGAACUGGGAGAUGGAAAAGGGGCUUGCUCCGUCCACUCCACGCAUCGACCUGGUAUUGCAGUACCUCCAGGACCGGUGCACCCCUCUCUCACUGUGAAAAACAAAACUAAACUCCUCCUGAGUCCAGAGAGUAGUGGUGCCGAGAUGAUGCCUCAUGAAACGUCAAAGCCUCGCAGCCAGAUGAACCAUCAAAGUGGUUCGACCUCGAAGCUUCAAAUUAGUACGCUAGGGACACCUAGUGGUGAAUUAAAUUAUGAUGAAAGAAAGAGUUUCCUGUGAUGAUGUGAUGUUUGCUUCGUAGCCUACAACAUCACAACGUUUAAGAAUUAAAGUCAUUUCAGUGAUACGUGUGAGUUUGCCGUUCAUAAAUAUCUCCCGAGCUCAUGGUAGAGAACAAAUCAUUUGACCUAGAUUUUAAGUCAUCCCGGGCAAAAUAGAUUGUCUCAGUAGCCUACUAAUAAUUGUAAUAAUAGAACUGCAUGAUGACUGAGAAUGAGUGUGAUUAAUUACAUAGCCAUAAAAGUGAUCUUGGAACUGGGUAGGGUCUUCUUUUUGUAAAAAUGUGCCAAUUGUGAACCCAUAUCGCGCAACAGCCCGAGAUGAAGCCUCGAACGUCACGCGCCACGUCAUUUCGCCUAUGUGAUACGGAGCUUCGCUGGGGGAGGAGCCGAGGUACUCGACACACGCCCCGAUGCCUCGACGCAAACCAUAACAUCACUACCUGAGAGUACACCCGUCCGCCUGUAGACAAUAAAGUGUCAUUUACAAUUCAUAAACGCACUGUUUACAAUUAUUCCAACGAUAUUCUGUUGUUUAAGAAAGAAAAAAGGAUUCUUUCUGUGGCGGGUCGAUAACUCGGAUCUCCAGGUUUCCUUUCGUUAUGCUUCCAUCACGCUGAUUUCAGAUUCGCCUGUCAUCGUGUGACCGGUGGUCUACAGUGUUUAUUAAAGUCUAGACAUCUCCGAAUGCUUUGCAACCGUUCUCCACGGGAACAAGCGUGGGCAUCGUUCAGCCCACCUGAACGUGUACAACUCAUACUUACCUGGCAAGGGAGAUACCACGAUCAAGAAGGUGGUUCACCCAUAGCGAGGCUCAGCCAUUGCACUGAGGCUGUUGCUGACCCGUGCGAAUUCCCCAAAUGUGGGAAUCUCGAUUGCAUAAUUUCUGGUAGUGGGGGACUGCGUUCGCGCUCUCCCCUGAUCAUGUUGUUCUAAAGAAAUAAUAGCUAUGAAUGGCUUCAUCGCGCUGACUAAUGCCGUCCAUCCCACGUUUUGCAACGCUACGUUUAUUCAAAAGAUCACGCAAACGAUCACGCCCAAGCAGUGUAAUGCAUUACAUUCAGAUGUGGAACUCUGAGUCUGGAAUAACGUAGUCAUUCAUUCAUUCAUUCAUUUCUUUCAUUCAUUAUGGAUCAAAUUAUUGUUUCUGUACAAGUCCCGUCUCUGGCCACAGCAGCGCUCCCACUCAUUAUGGGUUCCUCCUGUAUAAAAGUUAGUAUGGACAAGACAAUAAUUGCUUACGGCCAUACCACCCUGAGCACGCGCGAUCUCGUCUGAUCUCGGAGGCUAAGCAGGGUCAACUCGAGCUCAUUGGCUGCAAUAGAGUUCCGGGUGUUGACGUUGUUGGGGCGGGGAAAACGUGGGCACCACCAUUUUGGCAGUAUUCGGCAGACUGGCGCUCUUGUGGUGGAGCAGACAUGGUCGAUAACUGUUGUGCACCAGGUUGCACAAAUAAACGAGGCAAAAAUAAAUGUACGUCGUUCUACCGCAUUCCUAAAGAUGCGGAGAGGCGAGCUAAGUGGAUCAGCGCCAUUAAAAGAGCCAGGAGCAAGCAAAAAAA